rnacentral:rRNA from 1 species
CNGCAGUCGACGAUUCCUACGGGAGGCAGCAGUGGGGAAUUUUGGGCAAUGGGGGAAACCCUGACCCAGCAACGCCGCGUGGAGGAAGAAGGUUUUCGGAUCGUAAACUCCUGUCCCGAGGGACGAAGCAAGUGACGGUACCUCGGGAGGAAGCCCCGGCUAACUCCGUGCCAGCAGCCGCGGUAAUACGGGGGGGGCAAGCGUUGUUCGGAAUUACUGGGCGUAAAGGGCGCGCAGGCGGUUUCGUCAGUCAUGGGUGAAAGCCCCGGGCUCAACCCGGGAAUGGCCUGUGAAACCACGGAACUGGAGUGCUGGAGAGGGAAGCGGAAUUCCCAGUGUAGCGGUGAAAUGCGUAGAUAUUGGGAGGAACAUCGGUGGCGAAGGCGGCUUCCUGGACAGACACUGACGCUGAGGCGCGAAAGCCAGGGGAGCGAACGGGAUUAGAUACCCCGGUAGUCCUGGCUGUAAACGAUGAAUACUUGGUGUAGGGGGUAGGAAAGUCCCUCUGUGCCGUAGAGAACUCGAUAAGUAUUCCGCCUGGGGAGUACGGCCGCAAGGCUGAAACUCAAAGGAAUUGACGG